rnacentral:tRNA from 2 species
CGGGACGUGGCGCAGCUUGGUUAGCGCACUGGUCUGGGGGACCAGGGGUCGCCGGUUCGAAUCCGGCCGUCCCGA